UCCUAGCAAAUAGGAUGGUGUUCUUGAUGGU
rnacentral:piRNA from 1 species